rnacentral:lncRNA from 1 species
ACAAUGGCAGGAGAUUCCACCAGCAUCAUCUUUAUCCCAUGUCCAUCUGGUCCCAUCAGCUCCUUCACAAUCUCAUCAAUGUCAUUGUGUACAAGAUUAUGAACAUGGUAUCGUAAAUGCAAUGCCAUGGAAUCAACCAAUCUCACCUUAAAUACCUUCCAAUAAGCAACCAUUCUCAUCUUCAGGUCGAAAGCUUGUUGCAGGAUCGAAACAUCCGAGUGUUUUCUAAGAUGUUCGAUUUGGAUUUCCCCUAAACCUUGGAGAUCCACACUGCAAGGCAGCGGCCGCAUGUUUGUUCCAGAUAUUUGGUUUAUGAAAUGGUCUUGUUGCUUCAUGAGCUUAUUCCACUCCAUCAUGUAAUCAGGGUUACAUGUAUAGCCUGUUAGCUUCUCCAUUUCUACAAUCUCUUUCACCCUAUUGAUUGAUUGCUCCCUCAGCUUUUGAACAAGGUUGUGAGCAGCUCCUUUCGCGGAUACCUUGAGGUGAUAAUACAUUUCCGAGUGGCGCGUCAAAACAGACAUCACCACAUCGUCUAUGUAAUCCCAAUACUUUUCGCUGAGUUUGAUAGGGAGAUACGAUAUCCUCUCGACUUUUCUCCGUAAGAUACGAAGGACUGCUUCACAGGGAAGGAAGUUCGGUAGUUCGAUCCCCCUAGCAUCUUCCAAACCCUUGAUCUCUUCUGUUAAAAAGUCUUUUGAUAGAUUACUUUCCUCGCAGUUGUGAAGCUCAUCGGAGAACCGGUUCAGCAUUUCAACAAACCGAGCAGUCCCGUGCUUCGUGUUGUCCUCGGGGUAUUCAUCAAAUUCCCCCCUCCAAAGAAGUUUCUUCAGGGAUUCUUUAGCUGCUUGAAUGAUCCUCAUCAUAGCUUGAGUGGCAUCAGCAAUAGAAGUUAAGGCCUUUGGCAUUUUCUCUAGCUCUGAAACAUUUGCAUCCAGCUUUGCACUAAUGUUUUUAACAAUCUCUGGCAAGCACUUUGCAAUUGCAUUAGCUUGAAUUCGGACAAGCUUUUGAGCCAAAACAUGAACACCCACAAUUGAUUUAUCAAUACGUGACAAAUGUGCAUUAGUUUCGAACAAUCUAGCCUCUUCCUUCCUUGCUUCUUCAUAGGAUUCAUCACCAAUCCGAUUCCGAACACAAACAUAACCAAGUCCUAUAUUCACAUCAUCUGCAGUAACCUUGUCAACAAGCCCUUCGGGGGCCCUAUCUACUUUAGUAACCACGGCAAGAGUUCUCUCACCAUUCUUGUCCACUUGUUGCGACAUCCUAAUGGAUUCACAAGUUGAAAAAUCAACCGUAGCCGACAGAACAUUAAGGAUAAUGCUUUCCUUUGGUGUUAUGUACUGCAUGAUGAUGUCCCGGAUCUGCUCAUAUAUGUUGUCGGGCUGACCAUGGACAGGAACUCUGGUAAUUCCAGGAAGAUCAACCAUGGUAAGAUCAGGAACCCCAUCUUUUCUCACCACCAAAGUCAAAGGGAUGUCAGAUAUGCUCUUACCCGGGCCUGCAACCUCAUCAGUUGCAAUGUUUAUGGCUGUUGCAAUCUGGGGUUCCUCCACUGGGACCGUUUUGCCAUUGUACUCCAAGUAGAGCUCUAGCCCUUGCCUUGCAUGGUUCUGCAACCUGAUUAUAAGAGGUACCCUGGUGCAAAUGCCCUGGCUACGAGGAAGGUUAACACCAGCCAAGGAUUCAAGAACACUAGACUUGCCUGAUGACUGGUCUCCAACCACAACAAUUGUGGGGAGCUGUAUGCCUUCUUUCAUCACCAUGAGCAGCCUGAGCCUGUCGAUGACAUCAAGCAAAGGUCGGAUUUUGUCAUUGUAUGAUGAAAUAAUUGGGGCUUGGGCUGCUGCUGCUCCCACCACCUUAGGUUCUUCCAUAGGAGGAGUUGCUGGUUGAGAAUCUUCAUAAUCAUUGAUGACACCAAUGCUCCCUGAAUCAGCUUCAUCAUAGCUACCCAUUUUUUAGAAGUCGAGACAGGAUGGGAAUUGGCCAAACUUGAUGUUUUAGAUGGUUUUUUUUGUUGGAAGUUGGAAAGCAAUAAACUUGAACUAAAGUGAAGACAAAUUCAAUGAAGCAUGUUUGGCUUUAUAAUGAAAAUUAAAAUAGGGUAAAGCACCGAAAUUAGGAACAAUAAAGCGAUAGCAUCCUAUACCAAACCCCAAGAAACAAGCAAACGAAGCUACAAUGGGAAUGGAAAACUUUAUGUUAUACUUUGAAUUGUAGAAAAUAAUGAUACAAGGACAGAAGAGAGGAAACAGAACAAAAUCAAAUCGUGACCAACCAAAAGAUGAGUGUGUCGAUGACAGAAAGUUCGAAACAUAAACAGCCCCACAAGUUCCUACAGGAACUAGACAGCAGAACUAUAUGAAACAAUGUAUUCACAUUGAAGUUUCGGAUAGAUGCCACGUACAAGCCAUGUUGCCAUUACCUCAUAUGCUCUUUGUGUCAAAUGAGCUCCAUCCCAACUAAGCUGUUCAUUAGGGUUUUCGCAUACCGGUACUUUUGGAUCUCCGCACCAACUUGAUAAGCCAGAAUUGUAGUCUUCCCCAAUUCCGCAGCAAGCUUUUUGCAAUGAUGUUGGAUCAAAACCAGAUGAGAUUUUUCGAAAACUCAGAACAUGACUAGAACCAUUCACAGUACGAUCACAUAAACUUAUGGAUGCAAAUAAAUCAGACUUACCAAGCAGAUCAGCUUUGCUCAAAAGCCACAGGAAUGCAUUGUAGUAGUCACCGUAGACAACGAUUACAUCUGGAUGUUUUUCUUUUAGCUGAUCAGCAAUAGCUUGUUGAAGAAGAUGAUUAUGAUAGAUUGAAAAAAAGGCUUGACUUCGUCCCUUUCGUAUACCUACUCUAAGACAAAAAAAAAUCAUUUUAUUAAUUAAGCUUUUUGUUUAUUAAUAAUUUGUUUUUUUUUCAAAUUCAUUAAAUACAAUUAAAAACAUUUGGAAGAAAAAUCUAAUGGUAGACUAGAUAUAGUUAAGAUAAUAUCUAACAGAGAGAUCGAUGUUCGAGUAUUUGUUGAAGUUCCUACGUAACUUUUAAUAAUUUUACAAACGGAUAGAGAUAAUAGUUUAUUCGAACAUUUAUUUUUAAUAGAGUGAAGAAACCCAAUUAUUUAAUUUAUGGGUAAACUACAUAAAGGGUAACACAAGUAUAAAAAGUUACAAAAUGUUCAUCUAACUAUUCAAUAUUGUUUUUUUAGAUCACCCGGCUAACGGUGGCUACUUUUAAAAUUUGAAUAAUAGAAAUUUAACCCUCAACACUUAUAUAUUGUAUCAAUUUAGUCUUGAUUCUAAAAAAAAAAUUUAACUCUCAACAUUUACACAUUGUAUAAUUUGGUCUCUCUUUUUGUAAUUUUGCUUUUCUUUGUGACAUUUAGUGUUAAUUUUAAAAGAAUAAGAAAAGAAAAAAAAUAUUAUCUUAGAUUUCUGGGUGCUCCUAUUUUUUAUAUAUUUUUAAUCAAAUUUAACUGAUAAAUUUAUUUUUAACUUUUUAAGUGAAAGGGUAAAGAAAAACAAAGUUGUACUAGAAAAAAGAAGAUCAAACUACCCAAUGUAUAAAUGUUGAUAGUUAAUUAUUUCUGGAAUCAAGAUUAAAUUGACAUAAUUUAUAAAUAUUGAGGGUUAAAGUUGAUAUUAUGCGAAUAUUAAAAGUUGCCACCGAUGAUCAGUAACCAAAAAAGACAAAACUGAAUAACUUAGUGAUCAUUUUGUAACUCUUCAUAAAUUUUAGUACAAAAUUAAGUGAAUGUUAACGUGUUUGAGGCAAAUCUCGAUGAACAUGUCAUGCAACGCAUAGCUAAAGGGGUAGAUAAGAGCUUUAGACCUCUUUUAGUUAAAUGGUAUCAUUAUGAUUAUAGUGCCUCUUAAAUGUCAAUUGUUUAAUUUAGUUCCUUUCUAGCUUUUAUUUAAAUGGAACAAUUGUAAUUUAGACCCUUUUCAAAUGUUUAAAUUUAAUUUCAGUUAUUUUAACGUAAAAUAUUUUAGCUUUGUCCCCUAUUUUUUUAAUUUUAUCUUGGCUCUUCAUCACAUAAUUCAUGACUGACAUAUAUGCCAUAGGUCAUAAGAUUGAGUCAAACUAUGCAAAAACUCUUUAGUUUCACCUGUUUGAGCACUUCAAGGCGUUCUCACUCUCUAAACCCACCAAGGAUCUAGACAAAGUCGGGAGACAAAACUCCGACUGGGGACAAUACUGGACUUGCUUAUAUCUGCUUUAUAGUUGUAUUUGUAGCAUACAAUGUAUAUUUUGUCAAAUUUGAAUACUUCUUGUUUGCUUGUCUAUUAUUCUUUUGAUAGAAGAUACAACUUUCUUUAUUUGUAUGUCCAUAUAAUUUGUUACAUUCGAUCUGUGAACCAUAUUUGACCUUCAUAUUGUCAACCAUGCCACUUGUUCAAUGGAAAAUUACCUUUGUUGAUUUGUUCUUGGUUGACAUUAAGUUCAAGGUUCGAAUCAGGAAAACCAAUCUCUCUCCCCUUAUUAUAUUUAUGUAUAUACAUGUAUUUGACCUUCAUGUUUGUUGGUGAGAAAAUGGUACAGAGUAAAUUGAAUUUUGCUUUUUGUUUGGUGUGUUUCCUAGGGAAAGCUUUAUGGAAGCCAACAAGAAUGGAAAUUUGGUUGAUGUUGAUCGGAAGGCGUUCGAAACUUGGAAAAAAUGAGCGAGGAGGUAUAGGUCCCUUGCUCCUCCCACUUUGUCAUAACUUUUCAUUGGAAGUUUUCUGUUGUAAUUUUGUAUUGAGUAUCGUCCCGAGUAUUUUCUUUAAUAGGAGAGGAAACCAUAUGUUACUCAGCCUACAUGAAGGAUAUGACUGAAGCGGAUAAAAAUAUUGUAAAGGUAACUGGGAUUCAGAGUUUAUGGAUGCUAAUUUCGUAUAAUUUAAACUUUCUAGAGCGACCUAAAUAUGUUGUUGGUGUAAUUGGUGAAAUUGUUUGUUGUGCUUUCAUAGCAAUGCUGAUACAUUCUGAAUAUUUGAUCAUGGAACUUGUUCCGUAGAUUCUUAAUUCAGAACUAUGAAUAGGGGCAUACUAAGGCAUACUAAAGAUGCAUGAUUUUGAACUCAUGAUCCUCUCAUCUUUACAUAAUCUAUGUUGCCACUCGGUUUUCUCCCUAUCGUUGUCAAUUAUUGUCAUCACAAUUGCUUUUCAAUGAUUUUUUCAGUUAGAAUUAGUAUCUUUUCCUUGUUUUGUCCACAAAAGCAAGAAUGAUAUAUGAUAGCUGUGAUUUAUCUGACAAUUAGCUUCUCUAAAUCUUUCACCCUAAUCAAUUGUCAAAAAUUUGCUGUUCUAGUGCUUAUUGGCUUCUCGUUUUUAACUUGAAAGUUAACUUAUCUAUUGUUCAAACAUCAAAAUGGAACAAAGUUUUGCAUCAUAUUCGAAGUUAUUAAUGAGUUAUUUUCUUUAGGUGGAUGAUGAGGCUGAUUCAGCAAUGGUUGGGAAAUUUGAUGAGGUUUGUAUAUAUGUUUGGAGCACAAAAAACAUAGCAAAUAUAGAUAAAUUUACGUAUUGUAUAUCUACUUGUGCUUAAACUAAGUCAUUCCCCUGCCAGUUGAGGCUCUGAAACCUUUGGGCACUGAAGUUCGAGUUUCACUAUGUAAAUCAUGUGUUGGUUCUCCCCCAGAUUUAUUUUGUUUACUUAGUUAGAGUUGAGUUAGCUUCAGUGAAUGUAACGAUUGAUUAUGUUAGUUCCCCCCUCUUUUGCCACCUCUUCUUCGUUGAAUUUACAGUUCUAUGAAGAUUAUGGGUACUAUGAAACAUCUGAUGAUGAUGGUGAACCAUACCACUCUGGAGGAUUCAAGAGCUUAAACACAACUGAACAGUAAUCGAAGUCUUCCCCACAUUUCAGUUCAAUUACCUAACUUAACCGCAAUCAUAUAUUGUGCACAAGACCGAUAAGUUAUGGCUUUCAUGAAGCAGGGAAACUGCUAUCGAGGGCGGAACUUGAAGAUGUUCUGGUUUUUGUUUCAUGUCAAUGGACCUUAUCCAACUGGCAAUGGUGGAAAAAAAAAGUUUGCCAUUUUGAUUCAUUUGUUAAGGCAAAUCAUUUGGCUAUUGUAAAGUAGUUAUAGGGGUUUUAGCCUUCGAAGCAGAUUGGUAUUUGUUUUGCUAUUUGGCAGUGGCAGUGGCAAUGGCAAUGGGGGUUUCACAGGUGAGUGGCAAGGGCUAUAGAGGAAGCAUCAUUUUGUCUAUAUUUUUUUAGUUUUAUGGAAUUUGGUUGAUGGAAUAGGUGAUAUGUUGGGUUGGAUAAAAUAAUCUAUAUUUUAUUGAAGUUAUGUUUGUUUUUAUCUGUUAGAAAAUUGAAGAAUGAUAUUAGAAAAUAUUUAGUCAAAUAAUUUGUAUUAAUAAUAGUUAAUUAUGCCUUUGUGGCUAAGCUCAUGGAAAUCAUUUAAAAAUAAAAUCUAAUAAAUAAUUAAACAUAUGAUUUAAAAUUAAUAAUAAUAACAAAGUAAUAUGUACGAAAUUUAAAUAGGUAAAUACAUUUGAUUAAGCUUUAUGUUCUGUUCUAAAUUUGGUUUCUUAAUACUUCUUCUGAAUAAGUUGGUGUCGAGUUGAUUCAUGAUACCAAUUUAGUCACAUGGUUAAAUAACUAUAUAGAUACAAAAGUUAAAUAUUUAAGAUGAUUGAUGCCUUCUGAACAUAACACCAUUUAAAUUUAUAUAAAUGUAUGAAAAUACGAAAAAUACUCAAUAACAAUAUUUAUUAAUAAUUUAAAUUUUGAUUUUUUUUAGUUUUCUUUUAUUCAAUUGGUGUCAAGUUAAAUCGUGACGCUGAUUCAGUUACAAUAUAUAGAAUAUGACGUGAGUGACAGACCAAUUUUAUUUAAAAUUUUAAUAUAAAAUAACAAUAAAGGUUUGAUUGAAACGGAAAAAUUAAAGAUUUAAGUUGCUUGAUGUCUUAUGUAAAGGUUUAAAUCGCAUCAUUUGCUUAUUUCCUUAAGUUUAAGUUGUUCCUUAUAACUUUUAUAAAAAUGUGUGAAAAUACAAAAACACCCUAUGAUAAUGUUUAUUAAUUGUUUAAAAUUUGAGUUUUUAGUACUUCUCUAAUUAAAUUAGUGUCGAGUUGAUUCGUAACAUCAACUCAAUCACACUUAAAUUAAAGUUUCCAUACAUAGAACACCAGGUGGGUGAGAGUGAUAGACGAGAUUUAUGAAAAAAAUUCAUGUAAAAUAACAAUGAAGUUUCGGUUAAAAUAAUAAAUUUAAUUUGUAAUAUUUAUAAUGAUAAAUUUACACAGAAUACUUGCCAUUUGCAUAUUUUUUAUAAGUUUAUUUUAUUUUUUAAAAUAAAGUUUAUAUAAAGGUAUGAAAUGCAAAACUACCUUAUAAUAAUAUUUAUUAAUCGUUAAAAUUUUGAUUUUUUUAAUACUUUGUCUAAUCGAGUUGGUGUCGAGUUAGUCAAUGAUAUAAUUUAGACAUAUAAUUAGACAACAGUGUAAAAGUGUAGAUACAUAGAUCACAAUGCGCGUGAUAAGCAAAUUUUAUGUAAAAAAAAACUCAUAUAAAUAUUAUAUUAAUAGAUGAGAACAUCUGUAUUUAAUAAUUAGACAACAGUGUAAAAAUGUAGACACAUAGAUUACAAUGGGCGUGAUAAGCAAAUUUUAUGUAAAAAAACUCAUAUAAAUAUUAUAUUAAUAGAUGAGAACAUCAGUAUUUAAAAAAAAAAAUCCAGAAAGCUGAUUGCAUACCAAGGCUUGGAACAUGGCAAUCAUGGUACACAAAAAAGCCAAAAAAAAUUUAGCAAUAAGAUUUCAUAAAGAUAUAAAUUGUUUACAACAGUAAAUUAACACAAGAAAAUAAAAAUAAAACAAAGUAGAAAACUAACCCCCACCCCCAAUUUGCCGUCCACAGUAGUUGUGACCUUAUUAUAUAAUCUUCAAUCCUUAAUAAUCUAUACUAUAUAUAUAGAACACAGACACUUAAAACAUGCAAUAAGCAAACCAUGAUAAUGACCCAAAUUUUAUGUGAAAAUAUUAAACCAAGCAAGCAUCAUAAGCAACAAUCCCAUCCAUGAUCUUGGCCACACUAUCUUUGGACUCCUUUAACACCUUGAUGCUGUUUUUAAGCUUCUCACGCUUUGCAACAAUGGCAGGAGAUUCCACCAGCAUCAUCUUUAUCCCAUGUCCAUCUGGUCCCAUCAGCUCCUUCACAAUCUCAUCAAUGUCAUUGUGUACAAGAUUAUGAACAUGGUAUCGUAAAUGCAAUGCCAUGGAAUCAACCAAUCUCACCUUAAAUACCUUCCAAUAAGCAACCAUUCUCAUCUUCAGGUCGAAAGCUUGUUGCAGGAUCGAAACAUCCGAGUGUUUUCUGAGAUGUUCGAUUUGGAUUUCCCCUAAACCUUCGAGAUCCACACUGCAAGGCAGCGGCCGCAUGUUUGUUCCAGAUAUUUGGUUCAUGAAAUGGUCUUGUUGCUUCAUGAGCUUAUUCCACUCCAUCAUGUAAUCAGGGUUACAUGUGUAGCCUGUUAGCUUCUCCAUUUCUACAAUCUCUUUCACCCUAUUGAUUGAUUGCUCCCUCAGCUUUUGAACAAGGUUGUGAGCAGCUCCUUUUGCGGAUACCUUGAGGUGAUAAUACAUUUCCGAGUGGCGCGUCAAAACAGACAUCACCACAUCGUCUAUGUAAUCCCAAUACUUUUCGCUGAGUUUGAUAGGGAGAUACGAUAUCCUCUCGACUUUUCUCCGUAAGAUACGAAGGAAUGCUUCACAGGGAAGGAAGUUCGGUAGUUCGAUCCCCCUAGCAUCUUCCAAACCCUUGAUCUCUUCUGUUAAAAAGUCUUUUGAUAGAUUACUUUCCUCGCAGUUGUGAAGCUCAUCGGAGAACCGGUUCAGCAUUUCAACAAACCGAGCAGUCCCGUGCUUCGUGUUGUCCUCGGGGUAUUCAUCAAAUUCCCCCCUCCAAAGAAGUUUCUUCAGGGAUUCUUUAGCUGCUUGAAUGAUCCUCAUCAUAGCUUGAGUGGCAUCAGCAAUAGAAGUUAAGGCCUUUGGCAUUUUCUCUAGCUCUGAAACAUUUGCAUCCAGCUUUGCACUAAUGUUUUUAACAAUCUCUGGCAAGCACUUUGCAAUCGCAUUAGCUUGAAUUCGGACAAGAUUUUGAGCCAAAACAUGAACCCCCACAAUUGAUUUAUCAAUACGUGACAAAUGUGCAUUAGUUUCGAACAAUCUAGCCUCUUCCUUCCUUGCUUCUUCAUAGGAUUCAUCACCAAUCCGAUUCCGAACACAAACAUAACCAAGUCCUAUAUUCACAUCAUCUGCAGUAACCUUGUCAACAAGCCCUUCGGGGGCCCUAUCUACUUUAGUAACCACGGCAAGAGUUCUCUCACCAUUCUUGUCCACUUGUUGCGACAUCCUAAUGGAUUCACAAGUUGAAAAAUCAACCGUAGCCGACAGAACAUUAAGGAUAAUGCUUUCCUUUGGUGUUAUGUACUGCAUGAUGAUGUCCCGGAUCUGCUCAUAUAUGUUGUCGGGCUGACCAUGGACAGGAACUCUGGUAAUUCCAGGAAGAUCAACCAUGGUAAGAUCAGGAACCCCAUCUUUUCUCACCACCAAAGUCAAAGGGAUGUCAGAUAUGCUCUUACCCGGGCCUGCAACCUCAUCCGUUGCAAUGUUUAUGGCUGUUGCAAUCUGGGGUUCCUCCACUGGGACCGUUUUGCCAUUGUACUCCAAGUAGAGCUCUGGCCUUGGACUUGCAUGGUUCUGCAACCUGAUUAUGAGAGGUACCCUGGUGCAAAUGCCCUGGCUACGAGGAAGGUUAACACCAGCCAAGGAUUCAAGAACACUAGACUUGCCUGAUGACUGGUCUCCAACCACAACAAUUGUGGGGAGCUGUAUGCCUUCUUUCAUCACCAUGAGCAGCCUGAGCCUGUCGAUGACGUCAAGCAAAGGUCGGAUUUUGUCAUUGUAUGAUGAAAUAAUUGGGGCUUGAACUGCUGCUGCUCCCACCACCUUAGGUUCUUCCAUAGAAGGAGUUGCUGGUUGAGAAUCUUCAUAAUCAUUGAUGACACCAAUGGUCCCUGAAUCAGCUUCAUCAUAGCUUCCCAUUUUCUAGAAGUCGAGACAGGACGGGAAUUGGCCAAACUUGAUGUUUUAGAUGGUUUUUUUUGUUGGAAGUUGGAAAGCAAUAAACUUGAACUAAAGUGAAGACAAAUUCAAUGAAGCAUGUUUGGCUUUAUAAUGAAAAUUAAAAUAGGGUAAAGCACCAAAAAUAGGAACAAUAAAGCGAUAGCAUCCUAUACCAAACCCCAAGAAACAAGCAAAGGAAGCUAUAAUGGGAAUGGAAAACUUUAGGUUAUACUUUGAAUUGUAGAAAAUAAUGAUACAAGGACAGAAGAGAGGAAACAGAACAAAAUCAAAUCGUGACCGACCAAAAGAUGAGUGUGUCGAUGACAGAAAGUUCGAAACAUAAACAGCACCACUAGUUCCUACAGGAACUAGACAGCAGAACUAUAUGAAACAAUGUAUUCACAUUGAAGUUUCGGAGAGAUGCCACGUACAAGCCAUGUUGCCAUUAACUCAUAUGCUCUUUGUGCCAAAUGAGCUCCAUCCCAACUAAGCCGUUCAUUAGGGUUUUCGCAUACCGGUACUUUUGGAUCUCCGCACCAACUUAAUAAGCCAGAAUUGUAGUCCCCAAUUCCGCAGCAAGCUUUUUGCAAUGAUGUUGGAUCAAAACCUGAUGAGAUUUUUCGAAAACUCAGAACAUGACUAGAACCAUUCACAGUACGAUCUCAUAAACUUCUGGAUGCAAAUAAAUCAGACUUACCAAGCAGAUCAGCUUUGCUCAAAAGCCACAGGAAUGCAUUGUAGUAGUAACCGUAGACAACGAUUACAUCUUGAUGUUUUUCUUUUAGCUCAGCAAUAGCUUGUUGAAGAAGAUGACUAUGAUAGAUUGAAAAAUUAUUCUAACUCCUUUAAAAUUAUAUAUUUUAAUUUUAGCCUAAAAAAAAAAAUCUUGACUUGGUCCCUUUCGGGCAAAUUACACAUAAAAGCAUUAUUUUUUUAAAAUUUACGGAAAUAAGCUCGGUAUUUUAUUAUUUACUGGAAUGAGUCAUUUUCCCCAAAAUCGCGUCUACGUUAGCGCGAUGUCAGGGGACGUCAGCAAAUCGCGCCUCAAAAAAAAAAUCUUGACUUGGUCCCUUUCGGGCAAAUUACACAUAAAAGCCUUUUUUUUUUAAAUUUACCGAAAUAGGCCCGGUAUUUAUUAUUUACCGGAAUGGGCUAUUUUUCCCAAAAUUGCUUCUACAUCAGCGCGAUGUCAAGGGACGUCAGAAAAUCGCGUCCUCGUAGGCACAAUUUGCUGACGUGGAAGCAAAUCGCGCUAACGUGGACGCGAUUUGCGCCGCACGUGAACAGUACCCUCCGGUCAAAAAAUUGACCGUUUAUGUUUUUUAGCUUGGAAAACUUUGAAAUGCCAUAACUUUUCGCUCGGUUGUUCGAUUGAGAUGAUUUUUUUUAUUUCGAAUAACUUUUCGAGAUCUACGCGCUGACGGUUGAGACGAUUGAGGCGGUUUGCCGCAGUUUUCGUCGAAAAAGAUCCUUUUUUACCUCUAAAUUUUUAUUUUUUUCGGUUUAAAAUUAAAUUUUGAAACAUUCAAAUCAUUAUUUUCCUUAUUUAUUUGAAGUAAACACCGGAUUUUUUUUACAAAAUUAUUGUAUUAUUUUUUCUGAUUUGACACGUGUAUGGAAUAGGUCCGAUAAAUCAUUAAAACGUAAGUAAUAUAAUUAAGAUAAUAACAGUAUUUUUAUAAUAUGUUAAUUAAUUAGUUUAGCUUAGUUGGUUAAUAUGCUUGCUUUUUUCCUUUAGUACCUUGGUUCAAAUCUUGUUGGUAAUAAUUUUGAAUCUUUUUUGUACUUGUUGCAUUUAUUUUUUUAAUCAAUUAACUCUUCAAUAUUACAUUAAUAUAUAUUAUUAGUACAAUAAUAUAGACAGAUUGACAAUUUGAGCUACAAUAUUAUGAAUAUUAACUACAAUACAUAAUUUGAGCUACAUAUUACAGUAAUACAUAUUGGGCAAAAUACCAAAAAACCCUAUUUUUUUAAAAUUUACCGAAAUGGGCCCGAUAUUUUAUUAUUUAUCGAAAUGGGUCAUUUUCCCCGAAAUCGCGUCCACGUCAGCGCGAUGUCAUGGGACGUGUCAGAAAAUCGCGUCCUCGUAGGCGCGAUUUGUGUUCACAUAAGCAAAGCGCGCUGACGUGGACGCGAUUUUCUAACACGUCCCCUGAUAUCGCGCUGACGUGGACGCGAUUUAAGGGAAAAUGGCCUAUUCCGGUAAAUAAUAAAAUACCGGGUCCAUUUCGGUAAAUUUAAAAAAAAUAGGGUUUUUUUGGUAUUUUACUCGUCCCUUUCGCAUACCUACUCUAAGACAAAAAAAAUCAUUUUAUUUAAGCUUUUUGUUUAUUAAUAAUUUUUUUUUCAAUGUGAUUCAUUAAAUACAAUUAAAAAUAUUUGGAAGAGAAAUCUAGUCGUAGACUAGAUAGUUAAGAUAAUAUCUAACAGAGAGGUCGAUGUUCGAGUGUUUGUUGAAGUUCUUACGUAACUUUUAACAAUUUUACUGAUAACACUCUAGAAUACGUAUUUUUAUAUAUUAAUUAUGUAUUUAUUCUAAGAAUGAUGCUACUAAUUUGAGCUAUUUAUGAUCUUUUAUCUCAUAAGGACUAAAUUUGAGGUAAAAACAAAAUUAAUGGCCAAGAACGUGAAUUUAGAGAUACAAUAGGCCAAUGUGCUACACAAGAAAAAGUUGUUGCCAAAAGUGCAAGUGUGGAGGACACAAGGGUUGAGAUGCAAAAAGAAGAGAUUUUAUUCUAUCAGACUCUAUUUUAAUUAUAUUAGGAUAAUUAAUAUUAAGAUAAUUAUUAAAGAUUAUUUAAUUUUAGGAUUUAAUUUUAUUUAUCUUUAUUUAUCUUUAAUUAAAUGUAUUUAUCGUUUGGCAAUUUAAGUAGGAUUAGACUAUCUCCCCUAGCACUAUAAAUAGGGGUGAAGUGAGUCAAAAGAGGAUCCAUCUUUUUUGUAAACACUCUCUCCUCAAAAGUCUAGGCUUUUGUUCUUCUCAUAUUUCAUUUAAAUAAAAUCUCAAUUUUUAUUUAUUUUCUUUUCUACCACAAUCAUGAGCCACUAAACCUAUCUAGCCAAAGGUUGUCGAAAAUCUCCAAAAUAGUUUAUGAGGCUUAGAAUUCGUACUUAGCUUUCUCAAUGAGUGUUCAUCGUUUCUCUGCACUACGAGACUGACGCUUUCGUCGAUGUCCCUUAAGAAGUAAGCUUUUCAAUGUAUGCAAAGGUGGCCACUUUGUAUGUUUUGGGAAAGUUGCACAGUCGGUUUGUAAAAUAGGGUAAAGCACCAAAAAUAGGAACAAUAAAGCGAUAGCAUCCUAUACCAAACCCCAAGAAACAAUCAAAGGAAGCUACAAUGGGAAUGGAAAACUUUAGGUUAUACUUUGAAUUGUAGAAAAUACAUCUUAUAUUCCGUAUUGGAUUGUAGAAAAUAAUGAUACAAGGACAGAAGAGAGGAAACAGAUCAAAAUCAAAUCGUGACCAACCAAAAGAUGAGUGUGUGGAUGACAGAAAGUUCAAAACAUAAACAGCCCCACUAAUUCCUACAGGAACUAGACAGCAGAACUAUAUGAAACAAUGUAUUCACAUUGAAGUUUCGGAUAGAUGUCACGUACAAGCCAUGUUGCCAUUAACUCAUAUGCUCUUUGUGUCAAAUGAACUCCAUCCCAACUAAGCCGUUCAUUAGGGUUUUCGCAUACCGGUACUUUUGGAUCUCCGCACCAACUUGAUAAGCCAUAAUUGUAGUCUCCCCCAAUUCCGCAGCAAGCCUUUUGCAAUGAUAUUGGAUCAAAACCUAAUGAGAUUUUUCGAAAACUCAGAACAUGACUAGAACCAUUCACAGUACGGUCUCAUAAACUUAUGGAUGCAAAUAAAUCAGACUUACCAAGCAAUCAGCUUUGCUCAAAAGCCACAGGAAUGCAUUGUAGUAGUCACCGUAGACAACGGUUUCAUCUGGAUGUUCUUCUUUUAGCUCAGCAAUAGCUUGUUGAAGAAGAUAAUUAUGAUAGAUUGAAAAAUUAUUCAACUCCUUUAAACAAUGAAGUUCAUCAUAAGCAGUAGAAUCAUCUGUUUGGUAUUUGGUGAGAUAUACAGGAAAGCAGCCUAUGGGGAAGUUUCCAGGAACAACUAACCGAGUAGCACCAUAUCCGAUAACUCUCUACACAGUGGAACUUAUGAGAAACAGGGUUUCAAUGAUUAGAAGUGAUAUAAUCAGAUGUCUCUUGAAAGAAAACUUACUUUGGUAGCUUGUUUUAUCGUUUCUACUACCUCGGGCACCAUGGUCUUAACCUCUUCUAUGGUUUUUCCUUGCCAAAAGGCGUAGUUAUAGUCAUUUCCUCCUAUCUCCCCAACCAUGAAAAGAGCUUUCCCAUUUUUCUUGAAGCAAUCUACCAAAUAUAACACCUCAAGUGGUUAUUUGUGUUAAUCCAUUCUGAACAUCGUUAUUAUACCUGAUUACCUAACCAGGAGGCCUCAUUAGACCAACCGCUCCAUCAUGGAGGUCUCGCCUGCAUGAUAGCUCAACCAACUAAAGACACUCAUGUGCCUUGUCACACGAGCCACCACAAGGUCAUAUCAAGAUCCACUCAGGACCUGCUCCUGUCACAUCUAGUACAGGCUCUAUCACUCGACCAUUAAGUCUACAAGAAUAAUCUAUCUUCAACCUCUGCUAGCAGCUCUUGACACUCACGUGUGAGCCACCUUCAACCUCUUCCACCACAUCCUAUAUCAACAAACAUAUAUAUAUGUUGUGCGGAAGCGUGUAAAAGAGUAAAAUUAUUGUAUUAAAAAAUCACACUAAGUUCAAUUCCCAGGAAAGAGAGGUGGAUCACAAGGAUCGCUUAAGUACCAGGUCUUUCCUAGCCAGAAUAUCCCUCAAUCGUAAUUUAAUAGCACAAUAAAUCACUACAAUCACACACACAAUUCAUGCAGAAUAAUACAAUAAAGAACACAAGAAUUUAACGAGGUUCAGCAAAUUUUGCCUACGUCCUCGGGCACUACCAAAUAUAUUUCACUCCAAAAUACAAGUGAGAAUUUACAAAGAGAGAGAGAGAAAACAAUGCCUUAAGUAGAGAAUGGCAAGUUUGAGAUACAGAAUGAGAGAUGGUUAUGCCUAUUUAUAGUUGAGGUUCAGGGAUCAACUUGCAAAGUCACUUUACAAUUAGGGACCAUAUAUUACAAAUAUCUCAGAUUUUAUUAUGCCAAUAUCUCGAUACCCAUAUCUUUGACUUUCCAAUAUUUGAUACCCAUAUCUUUGACUUAUUAUUUGAUACCCAUAUCUUUGAUUUUCCAUAAAUAUGGAUAAUUCCCAAUAAUCUCCACCUUGAAGAUUUGAUUCGAGUAAUCUUAUCUUCACACAAUUCUCUCUGCCUUUGUCAACAACACUUGAUAGUGCCUUCUUCAACUGUUAAACAUGCAGAAUAUUGAUCAAGUUCAAACAAUGUUCGAACUUGAUUGUUGUUACCACCUUGGUCAUCAUAUCUGCGGGAUUAUCUGCAGUCUUAAUCUUCUGAAGGUGAAUUUUCCCCUCAUCAAUAAUUUCCCGCACAAAGUGGAAACGUACGUCGAUAUGCUUUGUACGUGCAUGAUAGACUUGAUUCUUUGCUAAAUGAAUAGCACUUUGACUAUCACAAUACACAUUAAUAUGCUCCUGGACCAAUCCCAAGGUUUUAACCAUACCUUGUAACCAAAUAGCUUCCUUUACAGCCUCUGUUACAGCCAUGUAUUCAGCUUCUGUGGUUGACAACGCAACUGUAGACUGCAGUGUAGACUUCCAACUUAUUGGUCCUCCAGCAAGAGUAAACACAUAACCAGUGGUUGAUCUUCGUUUGUCCAAAUCACCGGCAUAAUCAGAAUCAACGUACCCAACAACACCUUUACCAAGUGUAGUAUCCUGCUUGAACAGUAAUCCAAUAUCCAUGGUCUUAUGAAUAUACCGUAGAAUCCAUUUCACAGCUUGCCAAUGUCCUUUUCCAGGAUUAUGCAUAUACCUGCUCACUAUACUAACUGCUUGUGAAAUGUCGGGUCUUGUACACACCAUUGCAUACAUCAAGCUACCUACUGUAUUAGAAUACGGAACUUGUAACAUGUAUUCUUGUUCCGUAUUUGUCGAAGGAGAUAGUUGAGCAGAAAGCUUGAAAUGAGAAGCCAACGGAGUACUUACAGCUUUAGUCUGCUCGUUCAUGCCAAACUUCUGUAGUAUCUUCUUUAAAUAUUGCUUCUGAGAUAAACUAACUCUGCCAUGAGCUCUAUCCCUACAUAUUUCCAUGCCAAGGAUCUUCUUAGCUUCACCUAGAUCUUUCAUCUCAAACUCAAGGUUGAGUUGAGUCUUCAAUCUCUCAAUUUCAACUUUACUCUUAGAUGCUAUCAACAUAUCAUCAACAUAUAAGAGCAAGUAUACGAAAAAUCCUUCUUGUAGCUUCUGAAAAUACACGCAAUGAUCAAAUUUACUUCUUGUAUACCUUUGCCCUUUCAUGAACUGAUCAAAUCGCUUGUACCACUGCCUUGGAGAUUGUUUCAAUCCAUAAAGCGACUUUGUCAGUUUGCAAACCUAAUUUUCUUUAUCAGCAACCUUGAAUCCAUCUGGCUAAGUCAUAUAGAUUUCCUCUUCCAAAUCACCGUGUAAAAAUGCGGUCUUCACAUCGAGUUGAACUAGUUCAAGAUCAUAUUGCGCAACCAAGGCUAGCAAAAUCCGAAUAGACGAAUACUUCACAACUGGAGAAAAUACUUCAUUGUAGUCUAUUCCUUCUUUCUGAGCGUAACCCUUUGCUACCAAUCUAGCCUUGUAUCGAACUUCAUUUUUAUCAGGAAAUCCUUCCUUCUUUGCAUAUACCCAUUUGCAUCCAAUUGCCUUCUUUCCUUUAGGUAGUGUCACCAACUCCCAAGUCCUAUUUUUAUGAAGAGACUGCAUUUCUUCAUUCAUAGCUUGCUUCCACUUUACACUAUCAGAGUUACUUCUUGCUUCUGUGUAAGUAGAAGGAACAUCAUCAUCUACAAUUGGAAGUGCUUAGGCCACCAUAUCAUCAAAGCGAGCAGGCAUACGAAUCUCUCUUCUUGGCCUUCUAUAUGCAAUUGAAUCAUGUUGCUAUAGAAGUUCUUGGGUCGAAACUUCUUCAUCAUUUGUUCCUUCAAUAUUAGCUGGAUCAUCAUUAACCUUUUCAAGCUCCACCUGCUGCAAAGUGCCACUAGUUGUGUUAUCCUUUUGUGAAUCAUUGUUCUUCAUCAUGGUUGAUUCAUCAAAAGUCACAUCUCUACUGAAAAUUAUUUUCCUUGUAUCAGGACACCAGAGACGGUAUCCUUUUUCUCCACCAGUUAUACCCAUGAAUAAUGCUUUCUUUGCUCUUGGGUCUAACUUAGAUUCUUUUACAUGAUAAUAUGCAGUGGAACCAAAAAUAUGUAAAGAAUCAUAAUCAGUAGCAGGUUUACCAGCCCACCUCUCCAUAGGAGUUUUUCCAUUUAUUGCAGCUGAUGGCAACCGAUUAAUUAGAUGGCACGCAUAUGUAACUGCCUCAGCCCAAAAUUCUUUGCCCAAUCCAGCAUUGGACAACAUACAUCGAACUUUCUCCAGUAUAGUCCGAUUCAUACGUUCUGCCACCCCAUUCUGUUGUGGUGUAUCUCGAACAGUGAAGUGUCGUACAAUACCUUCAUCGUGACAUACUUGUAGAAAUGGAUCAUUCUUGUACUCAGUACCAUUGUCUGAUCGAAGUCGUUUGACUUUUCGACCAGCCUGGGUCUCCACCAUCUUCUUCCAUUUCAGAAAUACAUCCAAAACUUCAUUUUUCCUUUUCAUUAGAUACACCCAUACUUUUCUUGAAUAAUCAUCAACAAAAGUAACAAAAUAGUGCAUACCUCCCAAAGAAGCCACUUUAGUAGGUCCCCACACAUCACUGUGAACGUAGUCCAGAAUUUCUUUUGUAUUGUGAAUUGCUGAACCAAAUUUUAUCCUCGUCUGCUUGCCCAGAACACAAUGUUCACAGAAUUCCAAUUUUCAAGAAUUUGCACCUUUCAACAAGCCUUGCUUCGCCAAACUCUGCAAAGCUUUUUCACCAGCAUGUCCCAAUCGCAUAUGCCAUAACCUGGUAGCCUCUGAAUCUGCAUCUUUCGUAAAAGCUGUUGAUGUUGAUCCAAUAACUGUACUUCCAUUUAAAUAGUACAGAUUAUUCCUUCUUGUGCCUUUCAUCACCGUCAAUAUCCCUGCUACUACCUUUAGUAAUCCAUCUCUCAAAGUGAUUGUGAGCCCUUUAGAUUCUAGGACCCCUAAUGAGAUAAGAUUUUUCUUCAAGCUAGGUAUGUAGCGAACAUCUGUCAAGACUUGAAUUGAGCCGUCGUGAUUCUUCAAUUAGAUUGUACCUACUCCCAUUGUCUUACAAGCGCUAUCAUUGCCCAUAAAAACAACUCCACCUUCUAGUUCUUUAAGACUAGAAAACCAGUCCUUAUUAGGACACAUAUGGUAAGUACAUCCCGAAUCCAAAAUCCACUCAUCUGUAUGACAUGCCAUUGCCAUGCCAACCAAGCUAAAGUCUGACUCCUCAUCAUGCUCCGCUACACAUGCAUCAAAAAUAGCUUUACCCUUUUGUAACUUAGGACAAUUCUUUUUCCAAUGCCCUUUCUCACGACAAAAAGCACAUUCAUCUUUGGCAGGUCUCCCUUUGGACUUACUCCUUCUACCAGAUUUGUUGCUGCGCGAACGAAUUCUUACUGUUAAGACUUCUGUAGUUGUAUCUCUGUGAUCUUUUUUAUCUUUCUUUCGAGUCUCAGAUCUAUACAACGCACUACAGACUGCAUCAAAUGUGAUUGUAUCCUUCCCAUGAAGCAAUGUGGUGGUAAGAUGAUCAUAUUCAUCAGGAAGAGAAUUCAACAACAGUAAUGCCUUGUCUUCAUCUUCAAAUUUCUCAUCCAAAUUUAGCAAGUCUGCUAAAAUUUUAUUGAAUGAGUUCACAUGGUCAUUCAUCGACAUACCGGGUGCAUACGUAAAUCGAUAAAGUUUCUUUUUCAUAUAAAGCCUAUUUUUAAGACUUUUUGUUAGAAACUUUUCUUCUAGUGUAUCCCACAACUUCUUCGCUGAUGUCUCCCUCAUGACAGAGUGCUUCUACUCUUUGGCCAAACAUAGGCGAAUUGUUCCAUAUGCCUGUCUAUUGAUCUUGGCCCACUCCUUGUCAUCCAUUUUGUCAGGUUUUUCUUUAAGGGCUAUAUCCAGCUCUUGCUGACAUAAGACAUCCAGGAUCUCACAUUGCCACAUACCAAAAUUAUUGGUACCAUCAAAUUUCUCUACUUCAAAUUUCGCAUUGGUCACAGUAGUCUUUAACGAUGACUUUUCCAUUUUUUUUCUCCUCAAUCCCAACUACAGUACGUGAACAGUGCCGUGAACGAUCGUAUUCCCCAAGUACGAAUCUAGCUCUGAUACCAAUUGUUGUGCGGAAGCGUGUAAAAGAGUAAAAUUAUUGUACUAAAAAAUCACACUAAGUUCAAUUCCCAGGAAAGAGAGGUGGAUCACAAGGAUCGCUUAAGUACCAGGUCUUUCCUAGCCAGAAUAUCCCUCAAUCAUAAUUUAAUAGCACAAUAAAUCACUACAAUCACACACACAAUUCAUGCAGAAUAAUACAAUAAAGAACACAAGAAUUUAACGAGGUUCAGCAAAUUUUGCCUACGUCCUCGGGCACUACCAAAUAUAUUUCACUCCAAAAUACAAGUGAGAAUUUACAAAGAGAGAGAGAGAAAACAAUGCCUUAAGUAGAGAAUGGCAAGUUUGAGAUACAGAAUGAGAGAUGGUUAUGCCUAUUUAUAGUUGAGGUUCAGGGAUCAACUUGCAAAGUCACUUUACAAUUAGGGACCAUAUAUUGCAAAUAUCUCAAAUUUUAUUAUGCCAAUAUCUCGAUACCCAUAUAUUUGACUUUCCAAUAUUUGAUACCCAUAUCUUUGACUUAUUAUUUGAUACCCAUAUCUUUGAUUUUCCAUAAAUAUGGAUAAUUCCCAAUAAUAUAUAUAUAGGAAAGAUGCUAACCUUUGUUACCACGACAAGUUGUAUUGAAAUAGCUAAACAUCCAGUCAAGUUGUCUACUUAAAGAUAUGCUGGUAGGCACAAAGGAAACAUUCCACUUGGCUAAAUCUUCUGCAGACAUGGCAGUAGCUCCGGCAAACGCGAAAUUAAGCCCAUAAUCAAAUAAUCCAUCUUUGUUUAAGUAAGGAUCAAGAAAAGGAAUUCCAGCAGAUAGUGCUGUUCAAAUGUUCAAAACACGAAACAGUAAACACACUGGUUAAAAAAAAGUUAAUUAAACCAACAAAAAUCAAUACAAAUAUAAUCAUUAAUCAUCUUCCUAAACCUUUCUAGUAUGGGGUUGACACUUUUUUAGAGAAAAAAGAGAUUGAUUCUUCUCCAAGCAAUGCACCCAACGUGUAUGGUCUCAGUGAAGCUUUUGAUUAGAAUUUAGUAUUUUACCUAUAUAAUCAAUCAUCAACAAACCAUCGGAGCAUCUCCCAGUUGCUUUCUUGAAGGUUUCUCCAUAUGGUAACCUUGCAAAUUUUGAUGAAGGGUUGUCUUGCACAUCAUUACCCGUAUCUGCUAUGGAAUCCCCGAGCUGAUAUAUGGCAUCGAAAUUGUAGCUGCUAAGGAUAUGUUGAUUGUUGCAUGUAACGAAGUUGAAGAAAGAGAUGAUAAUUAGUAUAGAGAACACAAAACCUGGUGGUGAAGAUUUACUAGAAGCCAUAUAUGGAGAAAUGGUAUUACUGGGUAUUUAGCAUCUAAAUCUUAGCUCCCCCUAAAAAGGUAUAUAGUUGUGCUCCUACAGGUAGCUUUGAAUCAGGGACGGCACCAAAGGGGCAGUCAAAGGCCUUAGCACCCCCCAAACGAAAAAUUAUUAUUUUAGUCCCUUGAAAUUUUUUAAAUUAUAAGUUAGGUAAAAAUACACUUUGACCCCACAAGAUGAUUUUUUUUAAUUUAAUUCUUUUAAGAUUAUAAAUAACAAACAUAUAGAAAGAUAAAAUUAUAUUUUAACCUUUUUAAAAUUAUAUAAUUUAAUUUUAGCCUCAAAAAUAAAGUCUUGACUUGGUCCCUUUCGUAUACCUACUCUUAGACAAAAAAAAAUCAUUUUAUUUAAGCUUUUUGUUUAUUAAUAAUGAGUUUUUUUUCUCAAUGAUUCAUUAAAUACAAUUAAAAAAUAUUUGGAAGAGAAAUCUAGCAGUAGACUAGAUAGUUAAGAUGAUAUCUAACAGAGAGGUCGAUGUACGAGUGUUUGUUGAAGCUCCUAUGUAACUUUUAACAAUUUUACAAACUGAUAGAGGUAAUGGUUUCUUUGAUCAUUUAUUUUUAAUACGAGUAAAGAAACCUAAUUAUUUAAUUAUGGGUAAAAUACACAAGGAGUCACCCAACUAUGAAGAGUUAAAAAAAAGACAAUGGUGGUAACUUUUAAAAUUAGCAUAAUAGCAAUUUAACCCUUAACGUUUAUAUAUUGUAUCAAUCUAGUCUUGAUUCUAUUUUUUUUUAACUCUCAACAUUUACACAUUGUAUAAUUUAGUCUUUCUUUUUUAAUUUUGUUUUUCUUUGUGACAUUGAGGGUUAAUUUUAAAAGAAAAAGAAAAGAUAAAAAGUAUUAUCUUGGAUUUCUGGGUGCUCCUAUUUUUUUUAUAUAUUUUUAAUCAAAUUUAACUGAUAAAUUUAUUUUUAACUUUUUAGUUAAAAGAGUAAAGAAAAACAAAGUUGUACAAAAAAAAAAUCAAACUACGCAAUGUAUAAAUGUUGAGAGUUAAUUGUUUGAGGAAACAAGAUUAAAUUGACAUAAUUUAUAAAUAUUAAGGGUUAAAGUUGAUAUUAUGCUAAUUUUAAAAGUUGCCAUUGAUGAUCAGUGACCAAAAAAGACAAAAGCGAAUAAUUUAGUGAUCAUUUUGUAACUUUUUAUAAUUAAAUGACAAAAAAAUUACGUAAUUUAAUCUUUAAUUAUUUGUUUUGGACAUUGAUUAUUUAAUAACUAAUAACAUUCAAUAAUUGACGUUAAAAAAUUGUUUGUAUGAUGAAGUCAUUGUCAUCACCCAAAAGAUGUACAUAUAAAAGGAGUCACAAUCGGCCUCUACCAAAUUGAUUUUAGAAAGUAGACGCUAACUAUUUGAAAUAUAAUUGUUGUAUCUUAAUUUAUAAGUUAUUAUAUUAUUAUAUAAGCAUAAUUUUCUUUUGGUAGAUAAAGAUUAUUUCUUUCUAAAUAAUCUUUCAAAGUUAUUAAAUAAUCGUUGAAUUUUUUUGUAAUUUGGAGUACAAAAUUAAGUGAAUGUUAACGUGUUUGAGGCGAAUCUCGAUGAACAUGUCAUGCAAAUGCAACGCAUAGCUAAAGGAGUAGAUAAGAGCUUUAGACCUCUUAAAUGUCAGUUGUUCAAUUUAGUUCCUUUCUAGCUUUUAUUUAAAUGGAACAAUUGUAAUUUACACCCUUUUCAAAUGUUUAAAUUUAAUUUGGGUUAUUCUAAUGUAAAAAGUUUUAGCUUUGUCCCCUAUUUUUUUUAAUUUUACUCUUGGCUCUUCAUCACAUAAUUCAUGACUUCGCCUGAUACUGUGAGACCCAAUGUUAAUAUUUUAAGUAUUCAAAUCUCGGAUCGUUUAUGAACAAAAUUUUGAAAGAAAGAUGAUGGAAUAUUGACCUUGUAGCUGUAUAAGAGCUAGAAAGUAAUAUUAUAAAAAGAUUGGAGAUUAUAAGUUAAACACUUGGAAUUAUCGAAAAGUUGUUGCAGGAAGUUCGGUAGUUUGAUCGCCUUAGCUAACCUUCAAAGAUUCUUCAUCAAUUUAGACACCGAAAUCCCCACACUGUCAGAUUCGCUUUGAAAGAAGAGUAUGUGAAAUCCAUUAUACUCUAGAGCUCUCAAAGGGGCCAUGCAAAGAGGCUUCGAAAGAAAAUUGCAUGAAGUUCCCACAAUGUGUCAUUGGUUUCAUUAUGAUAUUUUAACCUUUAAUCAUUUUAUUUUAUAUAAAAAAAUUUGAACUGAUAAAAAAUUGAUUUCAAAUUAUUUCUAUUUUUAUUUUUCAAUUUUUAGUGUCAUUAUUAAUUUUUGUGUAAUUCAAUUGUUAAAGUAUGUAGUUUGAUACAUAAUUAUUGUUGUUAAUUUAGGAUAGCCAUGAAUGGGAUGCAUUGAGUUUGAAAUAUUUUAAGUAAAUUAUCAAAUUUUAUAAUAUUAGUUAAAAUUAAAAGAAUAUAUAUUUACUCCUUUUUUUUUCUCUUUGUAUCUUGAUUUGUGGAUUAGGUAACGAAUAUUGGUGUCCAAUUAUGUUAUGAUAAUAUAUACUUUUUUUUAUACAAUUUCUAGAAGUACCUGUAGCCUCUCUUAAGCCAUAAAUAGAAGGAUGAUAUGCUUCAGCGCACAAAAACUUACGUUUUCCUACAUUAGCAAUUGAGUUAAAACUCGAUCGGUAAGAUUUUAAAGAAAACAAAAUAAAUAAAAACUAAUCCCCCAAUUUACCGUCCACAGUAGUUCUGACAUUAUUAUAUGAUCUUCAAAUCUUUAUAAUCUAUACUAUAUAUAUAGAAUACAGACACUUGCAGCAUGUAAUAAAGCAAACCAUGAUGAUGACCUAAAUUUUAUGUGAAAAUAUUAAACCAAGUAAGCAUCAUAAACAACAAUCCUGUCCAUGACCUUGGCCACACUAUCUUUGGACUCCUUUAACACCUUGAUGCUGUUUUUAAGAUUCUCACGCUUUGCAACAAUGGCAGGAGAUUCCACCAGCAUCUUCUCCAUCCCAUGUCCAUCUGGUCCCAUCAGCUCCUUCACAAUCUCAUCAAUGUCAUUGUUUACAAGAUUAUGAACACAGUAUUGUAAAUGCAAUGCCAUGGAAUCAACCAAUCUAACUUUAAAUAUCUUCCAAUAAGCAACUGUUCUCAUCUUCAGAUCGAAAGCUUGUUGCAGGAUCAAAACGUUGGAGUGUUGUCUGAGAUGUUCGACUUGGAUUUUUCCGAAACCUUGGACUUCCCUGAGACAUUGGAUUUCUCUGAAACCUUGGAGAUCCUCAGGGUAAGGUGGCAACAUCAUGUCUGUUCCAGUUAUUUGGUUUAUGAAAUAGUCUUGUUGGUUCAUGAGCUCAUUCCACUCCCUCAUGUAAUCAGGGUUACAUGUAUAGCCUGUUAGUUUCUCCAUUUCUACAAUCUCUUUCACCCUAUUGAUUGAUUGCUCCCUCAGCUUUUGAACAAGAUUGUGAGCGGCUCCUUUCGCCGAUACCUUGAGCUGAUAAUACAUUUCCGAGUGGCGCGUCAAAACAGACGUCACCACAUCGUCUAUGUAAUCCCAAUACUUUUCGGUGAAUUUGAUAGGGAGAUACGAUAUCCUCUCGACUUUUCUCCGGAAGAUACGAAGGAAUGCUUCACAGGGAAGGAAGUUCGGUAGUUCGAUCCUCUUAGCAUCUUCCAAACCCUUGAUCUCUUCUGUUAAAAAGUCUUUCGACAGAUUACUUUCCUCGCAGUUGUGAAGUUCAUCGGAGAACCGGUUCAGCAUUUCCACAAACCGAGCAGUCCCGUGCUUCGUGUUGUCCUUGGGGUAUUCAUCAAAUUCCCAUCUCCAAAGAAGUUUCUUGAGGGAUUCUUUAGCUGCUUGAAUGAUCCACAUCAUAGCUUUAGUUGCAUCAGCAAUUGAAGUUAAGACCUUUGGCAUUUUCUCUAGCUCUGAAACAUUUGCAUCCAGCUUUGCACUAAUGUUUUUAACAAUCUCUGGAGAGCACUUUGCGAUUUCAUUAGCUUGAAUUUGAACAAGCUUUUGAGCCAAAACAUGAACACCCACAAUUGAUUUAUCAAUACAUAACAAAUGUGCAUUAGUUUCGAACAAUCUAGCCUCUUCCUUCCUUGCUUCUUCAUAGGAUUCAUCACCAAUCCGAUUCCGAACACAAACAUAUCCAAGUCCUAUAUUCACAUCAUCUGCAGUGUUGCGCGGAAGCGUGUGAAAGAGUAAAAUUAUUGUACUGAAAAAUCACACUAAGUUUAAUUCCCAGGAAAGAGAGGUGGAUCACGAGGAUCGCUUACAUACCAGAUCUUUCCUAGCCAGAAUAUCCCUCUAUCGUAAUUUAAUAGCACAAUAAAUCACUACAAUGACACUUGCAAAAAUAUGCAGAACAAAAAAUAAAGAACACUAGAAUUUUAACGAGGUUCAGCAAAUUUUGCCUACGUCCUCGGGCACUACCAAAUAUAUUUCACUCCAAAAAUACAAGUGAAAGUUUACAAAUAGGGAGAGAGAACAAUUGCCUUAAGUAGAGAAUGGCAAGUGUGGGAUGAAGAAAGUAAGAAAUGGUUAGGCCUAUUUAUAGUUGAGGUUUAAGGAUCAACUUGCAAUGUCCCUAUACAAUUAGGGACCAAAAUUACAAUUAUCCCAUGCCAACUAAUCUUACUUUCUACUUUCGGUGCCUUUCGGUGCCAACUUUCUGUCACUAUUCAUCUUUGAAAAGUCAAAGAUUGUAGGUAUCCAAUAAUCUCCACCUUGAAGAUUUGAUUAGGAUAAUCUUAUCUUCACACAAUUCUUUCUACCUUUGACAACAAUACUUGAUAGUGCCUUCUUCAACUGUUAAACUUGCAGGAUAUUGAUCAAGUUCAAACAAUGUUCGAACUUGGUUGUUGUUACCACCUUGGUCAUCAUAUCUGCGGGAUUAUCUGCAGUCUUGAUCUUCUGAAGACAAAUUUUCCCCUCUUCAAUAAUUUUCCACACAAAAUGGAAUCGUACGUCGAUAUGUUUUGUACGUGCAUGAUAGACUUGAUUCUUUGCUAAAUGAAUAGCACUUUGACUAUCACAAUACACGUUAAUAUGCUCCUGAACCAACCCCAAGGUUUUAGCCAUACCUUGUAACCAAAUAGCCUCCUUUACAGCCUCUGUUACAGCCAUGUAUUCGGCUUCUGUGGUUGACAAUGCAACUGUAGACUGUAGUGUAGACUUCCAACUUAUUGGUCCUCCAGCAAGUGUAAACACAUAACCGGUGGUUGAUCUUCGCUUGUCCAAAUCACCGGUAUAGUCAGAAUCAACGUACCCAAUAACACAUUUACCAAGUGUAUUAUCCUGCUUGAACAGUAAUCCAACAUCCACGGUCUUCUGAAUAUACCGUAGAAUCCAUUUCACAGCUUGCCAAUGUCCUUUUCCAGGAUUAUGCAUAUACCUGCUCACUAUACUAACUGCCUGUGAAAUGUCGGGUCUUGUACACACCAUUGCAUACAUCAAGCUACCCACUGCAUUAGAAUACGGAACUUGCAACAUGUAUUCUCGUUCCGUAUUCGUCGAAGGAGAUAGUUGUGCAGAAAGCUUGAAAUGAGAAGCCAACGGGGUACUUACAGGUUUGGUCUGCUCGUUCAUGCCAAACUGCUGUAGUACUUUCUUCAAAUACUGCUUCUGAGACAAGCUAACUCUGCCAUGAGCUCUAUCUCUACAUAUUUCCAUGCCGAGAAUCUUUUUAGCUUCUCCUAGAUCUUUCAUCUCAAACUCGAGAUUGAGUUGAGUCUUCAAUCUUUCAAUCUCAACUUUGCUCUUAGAUGCUAUUAGCAUAUCAUCAACAUAUAAGAGCAAGUAUAUGAAAGUUCCUUCUUGUAGCUUCUGAAAAUACACGCAAUGAUCAAAUUUACUUCUUGUGUACCUUUGCCCUUUCAUGAACUGAUCAAAUCGCUUGUACCACUGCCUCGGAGAUUGCUUCAAUCCAUAAAGCGACUUUGUCAGUUUGCAAACCCAAUUUUCUUUUCCAGCAACCUUGAAUCCAUCUGGCUGAGUCAUAUAGAUUUCCUCUUCCAAAUCACCGUGUAAAAACGCGGUCUUCACAUCAAGCUGAACUAGUUCAAGAUCAUAUUGCGCAACCAAGGCUAGCAAAAUCCGAAUAGACGAAUGCUUCACAACUGGAGAAAACACUUCAUUGUAGUCUAUUCCUUCUUUCUGAGUGUAACCCUUUGCUACCAAUCUAGCCUUGUAUCGAAUUUCAUUUUUACCAGGAAAUCCUUCCUUUUUUGCAUAUACCCAUUUGCAUCCAAUUGCCUUCUUUCCCUUGGGCAGUCUCACCAACUCCCAAGUCUUAUUUUUAUGAAGAGACUACAUUUCUUCAUUCAUAGCUUGCUUCCACUUUACACCAUCAGAGUUACUUAUUGCUUCUGUGUAAGUGGAAGGAACAUCAUCAUCUGCAAUUGGAAGUGCAUAGGCCACCAUAUCGUCAAAGCGAGCAGGCUUACGAAUCUCUCUUCUUGGCCUCCUAUAUGCAAUUGAAUCUUGUUGCUGUAGAAGUUCUUGGGUCGAAACUCCUUCAUCAUUUGUUCUUUCAAUAUUAGCUGGAUCAUCAUUAACCUUUUCAAACUCCACCUGCUGCAAAGUACUACUGGUUUUGUCAUCCUUUUGUGAAUCCUCGUUCUUCAUCAUGGUUGAUUCAUCAAAAGUUACAUCUCUACUGAAAACAAUCUUCCUUGUAUCAGGACACCAGAGACGGUAUCCUUUUACACCACCAGUUAUACCCAUGAAUAAUGCUUUCUUUGCUCUUGGGUCUAACUUAGAUUCUUUUACAUGAUAAUAUGCAGUGGAACCAAAAACAUGUAAAGAAUCAUAAUCAGUAGCAGGUUUACCAGUCCACAUCUCCAUAGGAGUUUUUUCAUUUAUUGCAGCUGAUGGCAAUCGGUUAAUUAGAUGGCACGCAUAUGUAACUGCCUCAGCCCAAAAUUCCUUGGCCAAUCCAGCAUUGGACAACAUACAUCGAACUUUCUCCAGUAUAGUCCGAUUCAUGCGUUCUGCCACCCCAUUCUGCUGUGGUGUAUCUCGAAUAGUGAAGUGUCGCACAAUGCCCUCAUCUUGACAUACUUGUAGAAAUGGAUCAUUUUUGUACUAAGUACCAUUAUCUGAUCGAAGUCGUUUGACCUUUCGACCUGUCUGAGUCUCCACCAUCUUCUUCCACUUCAGAAAUACAUCCAAAACUUCAUUUUUUCUUUUCAUUAGAUGCACCCAUACUUUUCUUGAAUAAUCAUCAAGAAAAGUGACAAAAUAGUGCAUACCUCCCAAAGAAGCCACUUUUGUAGGUCCCCACACAUCACUGUGAACAUAGUCCAGAAUUCCUUUCGUAUUGUGAAUUGCUGAACCAAAUUUUACCCUCGUCUGCUUGCCCAGAACACAAUGUUCACAGAAUUCCAAUUUGCAAGAAUUUUCACCUUUCAACAAGCCUUGCUUCGCCAAAGUCUGCAAAGCUUUUUCACCAGCAUGUCCCAAUCGUCUAUGCCAUAACCUGGUAGCCUCUGAAUCUGCAUCUUUCGCAGAAGCUGUUGAUGUUGAUCCAAUAACUGUACUUUCAUUUAAAUAGUACAAGUUAUUUCUUCUAGUGCUUUUCAUCACCGUCAAUACCCCUGCUACUACCUUUAGUAAUCCAUCUCUCAAAGUGAUUGUGAGCCCUUUAGAUUCUAGGGCCCCUAAUGAGAUGAGAUUUUUCUUCAAGCUGGGUACAUAGCGAACAUCUGUCAGAACUUGGAUUGAGCCGUCAUGGUUCUUCAAUUUGAUUGUACCUACACCCAUUGUCUUACAGGCACUAUCAUUGCCCAUAAAAACAACUCCACCUUCUAGUUCUUCAAGACUAGAAAACCAGUCCUUAUUAGGACACAUAUGGUAAGUACAUCCCGAAUCCAAUAUCCACUCAUCCGUUUGACAUGCCAUUGCCAUGCCAACCAAGCUAAAGUCUGACUCCUCAUCAUGCUCCGCUACACAUGCAUUAGAAAUAGACUUGCCCUUUUGUAACUUAGGACAAUUCUUUUUCCAAUGCCCUUUCUCACGACAAAAGGCACAUUCAUCUUUGGCGGGUCUCCCUUUGGACUUACCCCUUCUACCAGGUUUGCUGCUGUGUGAACGACCUCUUACUGUUAAGACUUCUGCAGUUGUAUCUCUGUGAUCUCUUUUAUCUUUCUUUCGAGUCUCAGAUCUAUACAACGCACUACAGACUGCAUCAAAUGUGAUUGAAUCUUUCCCAUGAAGCAAUGUGGUGGUAAGAUGAUCAUAUUCAUCAGGAAGGCAAUUCAACAACAAUAAUGCCUUGUCUUCAUCUUCAAAUUUCUCAUCCAAAUUUAGCAAGUCUGCUAAAAUUUUAUUGAAUGAGUUCACAUGAUCAUUCAUCGACAUACCGGGUGCAUACGUGAACCGAAAAAGUUUCUUUUUCAUAUAAAGCCUAUUUUCAAGACUUUUCGUUAGAAAUUUUUCUUCCAAUGUAUCCCACAGCUUCUUCGCUGAUGUCUCCCUCAUGACGGAGUACUUCUGCUCUUUGGCCAAACAUAGGCGGAUUGUACCACACGCCUGUCUAUUGAUCUUGGCCCACUCCUUAUCAUCCAUCUUGUCAGGUUUUUCUUCAAGGGCUAUAUCCAGCUCUUGCUGACAUAAGACAUCCAGGAUCUCACACUGCCACAUACCAAAAUUAUUGGUACUGUCAAAUUUCUCUACUUCAAAUUUUGCAUUUGUCACAGUAGUCCUUGCUGAUGACGAUGCUGCUGCCAUUUUUCUCCUCAAUCCCAACUACUGUAUACGUGAACAGUACUAUAUACGUGAAUAGUGCCGUAUACGUAAAUAGUACUGUAUACGUGAAUAGUGCCGUAUACGUGAAUAGUGCCGUAAACGGUCGUAUUCCCCAAGUACGAACCUGGCUCUGGUACCAAUUGUUGCGCGGAAGCGUGUGAAAGAGUAAAAUUAUUGUACUGAAAAAUCACACUAAGUUCAAUUCCCAGGAAAGAGAGGUGGAUCACGAGGAUCGCUUACAUACCAGAUCUUUCCUAGCCAGAAUAUCCCUCUAUCGUAAUUUAAUAGCACAAUAAAUCACUACAAUGACACUUGCAAAAUAUGCAGAACAAAAAAUAAAGAACACUAGAAUUUCAACGAGGUUCAGCAAAUUUUGCCUACGUCCUCGGGCACUACCAAAUAUAUUUCACUCCAAAAAUACAAGUGAAAGUUUACAAAUAGGGAGAGAGAACAAUUGCCUUAAGUAGAGAAUGGCAAGUGUGGGAUGAAGAAAGUAAGAAAUGGUUAGGCCUAUUUAUAGUUGAGGUUUAAGGAUCAACUUGCAAUGUCCCUAUACAAUUAGGGACCAAAAUUACAAUUAUCCCAUGCCAACUAAUCUUACUUUCUACUUUCGGUGCCUUUCGGUGCCAACUUUCUGCCACUAUUCAUCUUUGAAAAGUCAAAGAUUGUAGGUAUCCAAUAUGCAGUAACCUUGUCAACAAGCCCUUCAGGGGCCCUAUCUACUUUAGUAACCACAGCAAGAGUUCUCUCACCAUUCUUGUCCACUUGUUGCGACAUCCGAAUGGAUUCACAAGUUGAAAAAUCGACCGUGGCCGACAGAACAUUAAGGAUAAUGCUUUCCUUUGGUGUUAUGUACUGCAUGAUGAUGUCCCUGAUCUGCUCAUAUAUGUUGUUAGGCUGACCAUGGACAGGAACUCUGGUAAUUCCAGGAAGAUCAACCAUGGUAAGAUCAGGAACCCCAUCUUUUCUCACCACUAAAGUUAAAGGGGUGUCAGAUAUGCUCUUACCCGGGCCCGCAAUCUCAUCAGUUGCGAUGUUUAUGGCUGUUGCAAUCUGGGGUUCCUCCACUGGGACCAUUUUGCCAUUGUACUCCAAGUAAAGCUCUGGCCUUGGACUUGCAUGGUUCUGCAACCUGAUUAUGAGAGGUACCCUGGUGCAAAUUCCCUGGCUACGAGGAAGGUUAACGCCAGCCAAGGAUUCAAGAACACUAGACUUGCCUGAUGACUGGUCUCCGACCACAACAAUUGUGGGGAGCUGUAUGCCUUCUUUCAUCACCAUGAGCAGCCUGAGCCUGUCGAUGACAUCAAGCAAAGGUCGGAUUUUGUCGUUGAAUGAUGAAAUAAUUGGGGCUUGAGCUGCUGCUGCUGUCACCACCCUAGGUUGGUCCAUAGGAGGAGUUGCUGGUUGAGAAUCUUCAUAAUCAUUGAUGAAACCCAUGCUCCCUGAAUCAGCUUCAUCAUAGCUACCCAUUUUUUAGAAGUCGAGACAGGAGUGGGAAUUGGCCAAACUUGAUGUUUUAGAUGGUUUUUUUGUUGGAAGUUGGAAAGCAACAAGUUUUAACUUAAGUGAAGACAAACUCAAUGAAGCAUGCUUGGCUUGAUAAUGACAAUUAAAAUAGGGUAAAGCACCAAAAAUAGGAUCAAUAAGGUGAUAGCAUCCUAUACCAAAUCCCAAGAAACAUUCAGAGGAAGCUACAAUGGGAAUGGAAACUUUAUGUUAUACUUUUUAUUGUAGAAAAUACAACUUAUAUUCUGUAUUGGAUUGUAGAGAAUAGUGAAACAAGGACGCAAGAGAGGAAAUAGAACAAAAUCAAAUCGGAACCAAUCAGACGAUGAGUGCGUCGAUAACAGAACAAGUUCCUACAAGAACUAGAUACCAAGUAUAUUUUUCUCUUUAUUCCUUGUUUUGUGGAUUAUAUAACGAAUAUUGAUGUACUAUAUUUUUCUCUUUAUUCCUUGUUUUUGGAUUAUAUAACGAAUAUUGAUGUACGAUAUUUUUCUCUUUAUUCCUUAUUUUUGGAUUAUUUAACGAAUAUUGAUGUACGAUAAUACUUUGGUAUUGUUUUUACGUCAAAACAAAUAUGAUAUUGGACUUCUUCCCCCAAACAUUUAGACUGAUCAGUUAUUAUUCGAAAAAUUUUACCUAAAUACCAUAUUAAUAGAUGAGAACAUCUGUAUUUAAAAAUAAAAAUCCAAAAAGAUGAUUGCAUACCAAGGCAUGGAACAUUGGAAUCUUGCUACACAAAAAAGCAAAACAUGCAAUAAGCAAACCAUGAUGAUGACCCAAAUUUUAUGUGAAAAUAUUUAAAUUUAAUUUGGGUUAUUUUACUGUAAAAUAUUUUAGCUUUGUCUCCUAUUUUUAUAAUUUUAUCUUAGCUUUUCAUCAUAUAAUUCAUGAUUUCGCCUGAUAUCGUGAGAUUUAAUGUUAAUAUUUUAAGUAUUCAAAUCUCGGAUAGUUUAUGAACAAAGUUUCGAAAGAAAGAUGAUGGAAUAUUGACCUUGCAGCUGUAUAAGAGCUAGAAAGUAAUAUUAUAAAAAGAUUGGAGAUUAUAAGUUAAACACUUGGAAUUAUUGAAAAGUUGUUGCAGGAAGUUCGGUAGUUCGAUCCCCACACUGUCGGAUUCGCUUUGAGAGUAUGUGAAAUUCAUUAUACUCUAGAGCUCUCAAAGGGGACAUGCAAAGAGGCUUCGAAAGAAAAUUGCAUGAAGUUCCCACAAUGUCUCAUUGGCUUCAUUUAGAUAUUUUAAUCUUUAAUCAUUUUAUUUUAUAUAAAAAAUUGAACUCAUAAAAAAUUUAUUUCAAAUUAUUCUAAUUUUUAUUUUUCAAUUUUUAGCGUAAAUAUUGAUUUUUGUGUAAUUUUUUGUAAUUCAAUUGUUAAAGUAUGUAGUUUCAUACAUAAUUAUUGUUGUUUCAAUUGUUAAAGUAUGUAGUUUCAUACAUAAUUAUUGUUGUUAAUUUAGAAUAGCUAUGAAUGGGGGAUGCAUUGAGUUUGAAAUAUUUUAAGUAAUUUAUCAAAUUUUAUAACAUUAGUUAAAAUUAAAAGAAUAUAUAUUUACUCUCUCUUUUUUCUCUUUGUAUCGAAUAUGGUGUCUGAUUCUGUUUUGAUAAUAUCUGCUUUUUUUGACAUAAUAUCUAGAAGUACCUGUAGCCCCUUUUUAAGCCAUAAAUAAGAGGAUAAUAUGCUUCUGCGCACAAAAACUUAUAUCUUCCUACAUUGACAAUUAAGUUAAGACUCGAUUGGCAAGAUUUUAAAGAAAACAAAAUAAAGAAAAACUAAUCCCCCAAUUUACCGUCCACAGUAGUUCUGACAUUAUUAUAUAAUCUUCAAUUCUUUAUAAUCUAUGCUAUAUAUAUAGAGUACAGACACUUGCAGCAUGUAAUAAAGCAAACCAUGAUGAUGACCUAAAUUUUAUGUGAAAAUAUUAAACCAAGUAAGCAUCAUAAACAACAAUCCUGUCCAUGACCUUGGCCGCACUAUCUUUGGACUCCUUUAACACCUUGAUGCUGUUUUUAAGCUUCUCACGCUUUGCAACAAUGGCAGGAGAUUCCACCAGCAUCAUCUUUAUCCCAUGUCCAUCUGGUCCCAUCAGCUCCUUCAUAAUCUCAUCAGUGUCAUUGUGUACAAGAUUAUGAACAUGGUAUUGCAAAUGCAAUGCCAUGGAAUCAACCAAUCUCACCUUAAAUAUCUUCCAAUAAGCAACCAUUCUCAUCUUCAGGGCGAAAGCUUGUUGCAGGAUCGAAACAUUCGAGUGUUGUCUGAGAUGUUCGACUUGGAUUUCCCCGAAACCUUGGAGGUUCACACAGCAAGGCAGCGGCCCCAUGUUUGUUCCAGAUAUUUGGUUUAUGAAAUGGUCUUGUUCCUUCAUGAGCUUAUUCCACUCCAUCAUGUAAUCAGGGUUACAUGUAUAGCCUGUUAGCUUCUCCAUUUCUACUAUCUCUUUCACCCUAUUGAUUGAUUGCUCCCUCAGCUUUUGAACAAGGUUGUGAGCAGCUC